UACAGAGGGGGCAAGCGUUGUUCGGAAUUACUGGGCGUAAAGGGCGCGUAGGCGGCCUGCUAAGUCGAACGUGAAAUCCCGGGCUCAACCCGGGAACUGCGUCCGAUACUGGCAGGCUUGAAUCCGGGAGAGGGAUGUGGAAUUCCAGGUGUAGCGGUGAAAUGCGUAGAUAUCUGGAGGAACACCGGUGGCGAAGGCGGCAUCCUGGACCGGCAUUGACGCUGAGGCGCGAAAGCCAGGGGAGCAAACGGG
rnacentral:rRNA from 1 species